AAUAAGUGCAGCCAUGAGUUUUCGCGCUCAACUUUGAUCGUUCGUCUUAUUUGAAAUUUUUUUAUAAUUAGCAUUUUUGUUGUUAUGAGAUGAUAAAAUAUGAAUAGUACUUUACUCGUGACUUAUGUUUUUAAUUUUUUUUCAAAAAAAUUUCAAAUAAGACGAAUGGUCAAAGUUGGGCGCGGAAAACCAUUGCUGCACUUAUU
rnacentral:pre_miRNA from 1 species